CCUUCGAUAGCUCAGUUGGUAGAGCGGUGGACUGUAGAGGUUUAGAGCUCCCUUCAAAAGAAAUCCAUAGGUCGCUGGUUCAAAUCCGGCUCGAAGGA
rfam:Trachymyrmex cornetzi contig24702, whole genome shotgun sequence.